GACGAACGCUGGCGGCGUGCUUAACACAUGCAAGUCGAACGGUGAAGCGCCUUCCUUUUUGGUGGGUGUGGAUGAGUGGCGAACGGGUGAGUAACACGUGAGUAACCUGCCCCCUUCUUCUGGAUAACCGCAUGAAAGUGUGGCUAAUACGGGAUAUUCUGGGUCUGUCGCAUGAUGGGUCUGGGAAAGAUAUUGUUUCGGUGGGGGAUGGGCUCGCGGCCGAUCAGCUUGUUGGUGGGGUGAUGGCCUACCAAGGCGGUGACGGGUAGCCGGCCUGAGAGGGUGGACGGUCACACUGGGACUGAGACACGGCCCAGACUCCUACGAGAGGCAGCAGUGGGGAAUAUUGCACAAUGGGCGCAAGCCUGAUGCAGCGACGCCGCGUGAGGGAUGGAGGCCUUCGGGUUGUGAACCUCUUUCGCCAGUGAAGCAGGCCUGCCUCGUUUGUGGGUGGGUUGACGGUAGCUGGAUAAGAAGCGCCGGCUAACUACGUG
rnacentral:rRNA from 1 species